UGUAAUUAUUGUUUUUUUGCUAGUCGUGCAAUUAUGAAAUAUCUUGCCAAUAAAUGUGGUGAUCCUUUAUACCCAAAAGAUGAAAAAAAACGAGCUUUGGUUGAUAGCAGAUUAGAUUUUUUAUAGGAAGAUUUUGGCCAGCUUUGAAAGAAUAUGCGGUUUGAACUUUUUAAAUAAUAAUUUCAAUAGUUUAUUAUAGUACCCUCAAGUUAUGCACAAUAAGCCUUCGAAUCCUGAAAGGGAAAAGGACAUGCAUGAAGUUUUAGAUAAUUUAGAAUUAUUAUUGAGUCAGAGCAAAUACAUUGCAGGAGAUCAAAUGACAAUAGCUGACAUUUCAAUUUUGUAAUGUUUCAUUUUUAUGGAUGUCAAAAUAUAAUUUUGCAAAAUACCCAAAAAUUCAAGCAUGGAUUGAUGUAAUGAAAAAAUUACCAUAUUAUAAAGAAACGAAUCAAGAUUUUAAUGAUUGGAUACGUACUAAGACUCUCAUUAAAGGACAAUGAUAAUUUUGAUUGCUUAUAUUAACAAACUGCUUUAUUUUUCAUUAACAAUUAUUAUUUAUCAAAUUGUCUUUUUCAAAUUUAUUAACAUAACUGUUGCUAAUCACAAUAAAAAAUUUAAAUUUGUAUUCAUUAUAUAAA